rnacentral:rRNA from 1 species
UGGGAAUCUUGCACAAUGGGCGAAAGCCUGAUGCAGCAACGCCGCGUGCGGGAAGACAGCCCUAGGGUUGUAAACCGCUUUCAGCAGGGAAGAAACUGACGGUACCUGCAGAAGAAGAUGCGGCCAACUACGUGCCAGCAGCCGCGGUGACACGUAGGCAUCAAGCGUUAUCCGGAUUUAUUGGGCGUAAAGAGCUCGUAGGCGGUUCGGUAAGUCGGGUGUGAAAACUCUGGGCUCAACCCAGAGAGGCCACUCGAUACUGCUGUGACUAGAGUGCGGUAGGGGAGCGGGGAAUUCCUGGUGUAGCGGUGAAAUGCGCAGAUAUCAGGAGGAACACCAGUGGCGAAGGCGCCGCUCUGGGCCGUAACUGACGCUGAGGAGCGAAAGCAUGGGUAGCAAACAGGAUUAGAUACCCUGGUAGUCCAUGCCGUAAACGUUGGGCACUAGGUGUGGGUCCACAUCACG